rnacentral:misc_RNA from 1 species
CAACCCUCAGGCCCCCGGGCCUGGCGUUGGGGAUCGGCGGAGCCCCCCGUGGGCACACGCCGUCCCUCAAAUACAGUGGCGGUCCCGCCGCAGCUUCCAUCGCGUAGUAGCUAACACCUCGCGACUGGAGAGCGGCGCGGCCACGCCGUAAAACACCCAACUCUUCUGAAG